GCAAGAGGGGAUCAUUUCCUCCACUUUUUAUUACAGCGAUGCAGGGACAUUCUGUGAAUAGAAUCCUGGGGAGCUGUCAAGUCCGAAUAUGGGUGACUGUAAGGAGAGGGGUUUUGAUCUUUCCUCUGAGAAAGUUGUCGUGGGCCCAUGAAUUUCUUUGAGUUACUUCUAACCUACCACUCUGUUAGCACCUCCGAUAGUUAAGAGAGAGAGAGUUGUUGUUUAAAUUGGUAAGGGAAGCUAUAAAUAACUGCAGAAUCCAGAACCAGCUCUACCACCUUCUGCGCCAGACACAGAGGGCCAGCGGCUUGAGGUCAGAACCCAGCUCUGUCACUAACUUGGGAAAGGCACGUCAUCCAAAGCACCUGUUUCCAUCCUGUGACAGGAGGGGGAAGGACAGCAUGGUCUCUAACCCCAUGACCUCCACUGACUGAUGUCUGCCGAUGUUUUCUUACUGCUACAGGAAUCAAAGAUCAUCGAUGAGAGAGAUGGAAAAGGUGCAGGCUUGUUCAUAACCAGCAAGGUUCAGAGAGCUGGUGGGCACUGAGGAGGUGUCAACUCGUUACCACCUCUUGACCUUGCUAUGUCUCCAGUGAGGAUGUCUUGUCAGCAUCGUUUCCAUAGCGACCAGGACAUGACAACAGAAAAACUCUAUUGGCCCUUGCUGUCCAACCUUGCGUGUCGACACAGGAUUUGACAGUGAGAAGGCAGCUGGGACAGGCUGGUUCACCGUAGAAAUUUGACAGCAAGCGGGACCCCCACCCUCACCCCCAGGAGAUUUUGCUAUGUUCCGGUUUCUACACCAAUUUUGCAUCUGUCAGGGUUGCCUGGGAGCUGACAGUUAAGGAAAUCUUUUUCCCUGCCUGUCUGCUGAGACCUGGAGACAAAGGCAAAGCUACCCCUCACCUCACCUUCAGCCUGAGAUCCUCCAGCAGCUGGGUGAAGAUGCUUCCUAUCGGUGUCCCCAGACUUUCAAGUCUUCAGAGGGCUGGCAGACAGGACUGAUGGAAUAAGCCAGGCAGAUGCAUUUAGGAGAGUGAAGUGCCUGGGGUGAAUACUAGCCAUUCAUUCUGGAAGAGUAUUUGGGACAUAAGAGAGUACAGAGAGGCCAUCAGUGUUUCCUGAGAGCUCUCUGGCUUGAAGAGUCUUCCUGGCCCUGUACCAAAGCUCACAAAACUCCUGACAGCAUGGCAAUGGACAACCAUUUGGAAGUCUGCCUUUCAGCUGGGGCUUUGAACCCCAGGGUUGGAGGACCCUGGACCCCCUCACUUGAAGCACCACAGAAGCACAGAGGGAGAUGUGUUGCUUGUGUUUCUAAACAUGGAAAUUCCACCAAGAACUUAAGGACAAGAACCCAUUACUUUAUGAAAUCAGACCACAGUACAGCGUCACAUACAAACCUGAUUGUGUUCAGGGGGAGAGAUGGGCAGAUUCUGUCAAAUUGGAUUUAAAAUGUAUUGGAGGCUCUGGGUGUUUGAAGGAACCCCUAGGGUGAUGCUGAAUGACAAUCUUACAGAGAGGGAAGUAAUGCAUGCCUGAAAAUUCUGCUUGGUUCAUAUGUCCAUUCACUCUAUCAUAAAGCAAACCCAUUGUGUGCUCAGCAGUGCCUCAGUGCUGAGUGAUAGGAAGACAAAUAAUA
rnacentral:sRNA from 1 species